rnacentral:rRNA from 1 species
GGUCAAGUGAAGAAGCGCAUACGGUGGAUGCCUUGGCAGUCAGAGGCGAUGAAAGACGUGGUAGCCUGCGAAAAGCUUCGGGGAGUCGGCAAACAGACUUUGAUCCGGAGAUCUCUGAAUGGGGGAACCCACCUAGGAUAACCUAGGUAUCUUGUACUGAAUCCAUAGGUGCAAGAGGCGAACCAGGGGAACUGAAACAUCUAAGUACCCUGAGGAAAAGAAAUCAACCGAGAUUCCCUUAGUAGUGGCGAGCGAACGGGGAUUAGCCCUUAAGCUUCAUUGAUUUUAGCGGAACGCUCUGGAAAGUGCGGCCAUAGUGGGUGAUAGCCCCGUACGCGAAAGGAUCUUUGAAGUGAAAUCGAGUAGGACGGAGCACGAGAAACUUUGUCUGAACAUGGGGGGACCAUCCUCCAAGGCUAAAUACUACUGACUGACCGAUAGUGAACCAGUACCGUGAGGGAAAGGCGAAAAGAACCCCGGAGAGGGGAGUGAAAUAGAACCUGAAACCGUAUGCGUACAAGCAGUGGGAGCCUACUUGUUAGGUGACUGCGUACCUUUUGUAUAAUGGGUCAGCGACUUAUAUUCAGUGGCAAGCUUAACCGUAUAGGGUAGGCGUAGCGAAAGCGAGUCUUAAUAGGGCGUUUAGUCGCUGGGUAUAGACCCGAAACCGGGCGAUCUAUCCAUGAGCAGGUUGAAGGUUAGGUAACACUGACUGGAGGACCGAACCCACUCCCGUUGAAAAGGUAGGGGAUGACUUGUGGAUCGGAGUGAAAGGCUAAUCAAGCUCGGAGAUAGCUGGUUCUCCUCGAAAGCUAUUUAGGUAGCGCCUCAUGUAUCACUCUGGGGGGUAGAGCACUGUUUCGGCUAGGGGGUCAUCCCGACUUACCAAACCGAUGCAAACUCCGAAUACCCAGAAGUGCCGAGCAUGGGAGACACACGGCGGGUGCUAACGUCCGUCGUGAAAAGGGAAACAACCCAGACCGCCAGCUAAGGUCCCAAAGUUGUGGUUAAGUGGUAAACGAUGUGGGAAGGCUUAGACAGCUAGGAGGUUGGCUUAGAAGCAGCCAUCCUUUAAAGAAAGCGUAAUAGCUCACUAGUCGAGUCGGCCUGCGCGGAAGAUGUAACGGGGCUCAAACCACACACCGAAGCUGCGGGUGUCACGNNNNNNNNNNNNNNNNNNNNNNNNNNNNNNNNNNNNNNNNNNNNNNNNNNNNNNNNNNNNNNNNNNNNNNNNNNNNNNNNNNNNNNNNNNNNNNNNNNNCAAGUGACGCGGUAGAGGAGCGUUCUGUAAGCCUGUGAAGGUGAGUUGAGAAGCUUGCUGGAGGUAUCAGAAGUGCGAAUGCUGACAUGAGUAACGACAAUGGGUGUGAAAAACACCCACGCCGAAAGACCAAGGGUUCCUGCGCAACGUUAAUCGACGCAGGGUUAGUCGGUUCCUAAGGCGAGGCUGAAAAGCGUAGUCGAUGGGAAACAGGUUAAUAUUCCUGUACUUCUGGUUACUGCGAUGGAGGGACGGAGAAGGCUAGGCCAGCUUGGCGUUGGUUGUCCAAGUUUAAGGUGGUAGGCUGAAAUCUUAGGUAAAUCCGGGGUUUCAAGGCCGAGAGCUGAUGACGAGUCGUCUUUUAGAUGACGAAGUGGUUGAUGCCAUGCUUCCAAGAAAAGCUUCUAAGCUUCAGGUAACCAGGAACCGUACCCCAAACCGACACAGGUGGUCGGGUAGAGAAUACCAAGGCGCUUGAGAGAACUCGGGUGAAGGAACUAGGCAAAAUGGCACCGUAACUUCGGGAGAAGGUGCGCCGGCUAGGGUGAAGGAUUUACUCCGUAAGCUCUGGCUGGUCGAAGAUACCAGGCCGCUGCGACUGUUUAUUAAAAACACAGCACUCUGCAAACACGAAAGUGGACGUAUAGGGUGUGACGCCUGCCCGGUGCCGGAAGGUUAAUUGAUGGGGUUAGCGCAAGCGAAGCUCUUGAUCGAAGCCCCGGUAAACGGCGGCCGUAACUAUAACGGUCCUAAGGUAGCGAAAUUCCUUGUCGGGUAAGUUCCGACCUGCACGAAUGGCGUAACGAUGGCGGCGCUGUCUCCACCCGAGACUCAGUGAAAUUGAAAUCGCUGUGAAGAUGCAGUGUAUCCGCGGCUAGACGGAAAGACCCCGUGAACCUUUACUGUAGCUUUGCACUGGACUUUGAGCCUGCUUGUGUAGGAUAGGUGGGAGGCUUUGAAGCGUGGACGCCAGUUCGCGUGGAGCCAUCCUUGAAAUACCACCCUGGCAUGCUUGAGGUUCUAACUCUGGUCCGUGAUCCGGAUCGAGGACAGUGUAUGGUGGGCAGUUUGACUGGGGCGGUCUCCUCCUAAAGAGUAACGGAGGAGUACGAAGGUGCGCUCAGACCGGUCGGAAAUCGGUCGCAGAGUAUAAAGGCAAAAGCGCGCUUGACUGCGAGACAGACACGUCGAGCAGGUACGAAAGUAGGUCUUAGUGAUCCGGUGGUUCUGUAUGGAAGGGCCAUCGCUCAACGGAUAAAAGGUACUCCGGGGAUAACAGGCUGAUACCGCCCAAGAGUUCAUAUCGACGGCGGUGUUUGGCACCUCGAUGUCGGCUCAUCACAUCCUGGGGCUGAAGCCGGUCCCAAGGGUAUGGCUGUUCGCCAUUUAAAGUGGUACGCGAGCUGGGUUUAGAACGUCGUGAGACAGUUCGGUCCCUAUCUGCCGUGGACGUUUGAGAUUUGAGAGGGGCUGCUCCUAGUACGAGAGGACCGGAGUGGACGAACCUCUGGUGUUCCGGUUGUCACGCCAGUGGCAUUGCCGGGUAGCUAUGUUCGGAAAAGAUAACCGCUGAAAGCAUCUAAGCGGGAAACUUGCCUCAAGAUGAGAUCUCACUGGGAACUUGAUUCCCCUGAAGGGCCGUCGAAGACUACGACGUUGAUAGGCUGGGUGUGUAAGCGUUGUGAGGCGUUGAGCUAACCAGUACUAAUUGCCCGUGAGGCUUGACCAU